GUGAGGUCCCAGAAAUCAGGGCUCCACACAUGGGCAGCCUGGCUGGGCAGUAGAGUCCCCAGUGGGUGGAUGCAUCCCUUGUUGGAGUUUGGAAUAGACUCAU
rnacentral:RNase_P_RNA from 2 species